GGGGCUGAUCUAGUUUAGACGAAUCAUUAACAAUGCGCAGGCGAGUCGAUUUGUACCGUAAGUACAGUUCAUAAAUGCAGAAAAAACUGCUAGUAAGCAUGUGGCAUACAUGCCAGCUUACGCCUAAGUCGUUGAUUUAAUCCGACUUUGUUAGAAUGUCUGAUACAUCAUAAGGCAGUCUAAUAUCAUACUCAUGAUGCUAAGGUAGAUCGCGCGACGUCGAUAUGCUCGAAAAUCUAGUCAUGGCUAGAUGAAGUUUUGUUAUUUCCAGCUUCACCUGUUAUGCCGAGAGAAAGAAAUGACUAUGCUUGUAGAAUGCGCAAUUGAAGAUUUUUCGGACCCGGAGGCAGUAUCCGGCAGCUCCACCA
rnacentral:tmRNA from 1 species